UACGAAGGGGGCUAGCGUUGUUCGGAUUUACUGGGCGUAAAGCGCACGUAGGCGGAUCGAUCAGUCAGGGGUGAAAUCCCAGAGCUCAACUCCGAAACUGCAUUCGAUACUGCCGUGCUUGAGGACUGGAGGGGAGACUGGAAUUUACGGUGUAGCGGUGAAAUGCGCAGAUAUCAGGAGGAACACCGGUGGCGAAGGCGGUUCUCUGGGCAUGUCCUGACGCUGAGGAGCGAAAGUGUGGGGAGCGAACAGG
rnacentral:rRNA from 1 species